UACGUAGGGGGCAAGCGUUGUCCGGAUUUAUUGGGCGUAAAGAGCGUGUAGGCGGCUUGGUAGGUCCGCUGUGAAAACUCGAGGCUCAACCUCGAGAUGUCGGCGGAAACCACUUGGCUAGAGUCCGGAAGAGGAGAGUGGAAUUCCUGGUGUAGCGGUGAAAUGCGCAGAUAUCAGGAAGAACACCUAUGGCGAAGGCAGCUCUCUGGGACAGUACUGACGCUGAGACGCGAAAGCGUGGGGAGCGAACAGG
rnacentral:rRNA from 1 species